UUCUGACUUGAUAGCUCGGUUGGUUAGAGCGCUGUGCUGAUAACACCAAGGUUGCAGGUUUGAUCCAGAUUCCUAUUCCAGAAU